rnacentral:rRNA from 1 species
GGAUGAGCCCGCGGCCUAUCAGCUUGUUGGUGAGGUAACGGCUCACCAAGGCGACGACGGGUAGCCGGCCUGAGAGGGCGACCGGCCACACUGGGACUGAGACACGGCCCAGACUCCUACGGGAGGCAGCAGUGGGGAAUAUUGCACAAUGGGCGCAAGCCUGAUGCAGCGACGCCGCGUGAGGGAUGACGGCCUUCGGGUUGUAAACCUCUUUCAGCAGGGAAGAAGCGCAAGUGACGGUACCUGCAGAAGAAGCGCCGGCUAACUACGUGCCAGCAGCCGCGG